UAGGGAAUCUUCGGCAAUGGACGGAAGUCUGACCGAGCAACGCCGCGUGAGUGAAGAAGGUUUUCGGAUCGUAAAGCUCUGUUGUAAGAGAAGAACGAGUGUGAGAGUGGAAAGUUCACACUGUGACGGUAUCUUACCAGAAAGGGACGGCUAACUACGUGCCAGCAGCCGCGGUAAUACGUAGGUCCCGAGCGUUGUCCGGAUUUAUUGGGCGUAAAGCGAGCGCAGGCGGUUAGAUAAGUCUGAAGUUAAAGGCUGUGGCUUAACCAUAGUACGCUUUGGAAACUGUUUAACUUGAGUGCAAGAGGGGAGAGUGGAAUUCCAUGUGUAGCGGUGAAAUGCGUAGAUAUAUGGAGGAACACCGGUGGCGAAAGCGGCUCUCUGGCUUGUAACUGACGCUGAGGCUCGAAAGCGUGGGGAGCAAACAGGAUUAGGUACCCUGGUAGUCCACGCCGUAACGAUGAGUGCUAGGUGUUAGACCCUUUCCGGGGUUUAGUGCCGUAGCUAACGCAUUAAGCACUCCGCCUGGGGAGUACGACCGCAAGGUUG
rnacentral:rRNA from 1 species